CUGACCUGUUAACUGUUUUGACGCCUCUGUGGACUGGAACUGCCACCUAAUAAUACUUACUUAUUACCUUUCUGCCAUUAGAAAGGGGGUUGACCCAGUAAGCAGAUUUCUAGCCUUAGAGCUCAUCCGCGUCUUCUCAGUUUGUACCGUAUCUCUCUAAUAGUGAACAGUAUUGACAGCUUAGGCAAACAGUAUAUGUAAUAAGCGCUGCAGCAAAGGAAUUCCUCAGCAGCAGGUUGCAUCUCUACAGUUGUGUUUCAUAACUGCUGGUGCUGCUAGCCCUUCAAGAAUUUGACUAAUCCCUUUUGAACCCAUCGAUAAAAAUAUCCGGGGGAAAUAAGCACACCUUUUUCUUUUGCCUGCCUUUAAAAAGUCCUCCCUUCCCACCAGCUUUCCUUUUGUUUAAAAUCUGCCGCCUAAUAAUUUCGCUGGGUUCCCCUAGUUCUGUAAUAAGAAGUAAUGCUGAGUAACUCACUCCCUCACUAUUCCCAAGUCACCUUUUCCACAUCUUUCAUUAUUUUAGGCUUCUCUUGCAUGCCAUUUCCCCUCACGCUGCUUUUCUAGGCUGAAGAACCCUAGUCUAGUCCGUCUCUGAACAUCCUCGUCCUUCUCUGCAUUUUUCUCUACGUCGUCUAGUUGUUCUGUCUCUUUCUGGUGAUAGAGCGACCAAUGACCUCUCUGAUUUGCAACAAGACAUACACAGGCUAUAAAAUCACGCAAUUCCUCCAGUUUCUCAGUUUGUCACAGUCCCCACGUUCAGAACCAAGCAUCACAAAGGAUGAGGAUCCUUUUUCUACAGCAUAAAGCAAGCCAUGAGAAAUAACCCGCGAGAGACGGUAGGCCCCCUGAGAAUGCAGUAACUGGCUUUAUGCUGCUAAUUAAGUUUACUCAAACUAAUGCAUCACCAAGAGUGGAUUCCGCUGCCUGAACGUGCAGAAAAUAAAACCUGUGAGGAACCUGGGUAGCUUAAAGACUAAAAAGCGACAGGAGUUCAAAAUCGUAAAACGCUUCCGUAACAAGUAAAAGUGGUGUUCAUGACAGAAGGGAGAAAGUAAUAGGACAACACGAACUUUUAACAGUUAGACUUUUGAGCGGCAAAGCAGGCUACAGAGUUUUCCGGUUCCCCUCUUCCCUACUCACAGGAAAUUUGUAUCUAUCUGUUGAUUACCCGAUAUAGCUGGUACGUACAUGCUUGCUUUCUGAUGCUCUUUCUGUUGCUUUCUGUUAAGCACCAUGGGAUGAUACUACUACUUAACGCUUUUACUCAGAGAGGCUAAUCUCAGUUCUCCUCCCCUUUUAUGCACUGUCCUAGUUUCAGAGAUGGAGAAAUUGAAGAGGGUUUUUUGGAAGUGGUUCAUGUAAAUGAGGCAGCUAUAAAUAGAUUUUGUGCUACCGUUAACAAACGAACGGCCAUACAAUUCCAGUACAGUUGUUAAAUGGUUCCUUCCCCUUGUCCACAGCAGGAAGUAGCUGAUUUUUGACAGCUUUUUUUGCACAAAGUCUGCAGGAAGGAUGCUUUGCAAUAUAAUAUUCUCACAGAACGACAGUUCAGAAUUUUUACGCAAAUACUAUAUAAAUGGAUAUGCUGAAAACGAUUAGCACUUUUAAACUCCCAGAAGCGCUUUUUCAGCGUCUAUGAUGUGCAGAUUGUUUUGAAAAUCUGGACGUACGUGAUUUGAUCCAAAACAUAACCGUUAGUCAGCAUCCGAACCAGGAUUAGGUGCCAGCAAUUCAAAAAUGAUUUCCUGCCUCUGCUUUAUAAAUAAAUUACGACUUUUGGAAAAAAAAAAAAAAAAGAUUUGCAAACAAAACAAUAAAAGGAAGAGCAAUCCUAUGUUGCACGCUUAAGAGUCUCUCUAGCUGCCCUGAGUCUGAUACGUCACCUAAGAAUCUGCUCCAAUACAUUUUCAUCUUCCUAAACAUUUUUUCUGGAUCUUUCUGCGCUGCGAGUCAUUUAAGACUAAUAGUUGUGUUUUAAAAAUGACUUACAGUUUUGGCACCAAAGCGGUGCACUUCACAGCUUUGCCAGACUGCAGCACCAUAAAGUUAAUUUACAGUUUUUACAACAUCGCUUUUGCGAUCUCAGUAGUUCAUAUUAAAAUUCUUUAUGCCACAUGGAAAGGAUGCCUACUCUGUGGAUUUAAAUGCAAACUUCAUUUACCCCAGUGCAAGUUGCAUACAGCCAAGAUACACACCCACAAAUAUGUUAUUGGGCCUUUUGUAAUAGAUGAAAAGGUACUGACACAAAUCCCUUAAAGACGGGGAGCUAUCUUUGUUGUUUUUUAUCGUCAUCAUCAUCUCUGGCAACAGCUGGUCUCCUCCUCUAUGGCCUGCGUUCAGUUUUUCAGAAUCUUUCAGAAUGCCGUUAAGGCAGAAGAAAAAGGGAGCUCUUGAGGGCUACAAGGUCCAUUUGUGUUUUUUUCCCCUUGAAAGACGGUACUGUAGGGGAGUUGAAACAUUCAGUAACUGUUCAUUUCCGGAUAAUAUUUCCCACUACGAAAAUGAUAGCUUAGGUAUACAGUGAAGCUAAUACAAGUAGGAAACAGGUGUGGAUUUCUGUUCGUGAUCUGACAGUCCUCUUUUCAGCCUGUUUCUGCCCACAAAGCACAAACUUACUUACUGUUAGGCGAAGACCUGCACUAUGUCUUGGAUGGCCAUUAACUGAGUGAAAAAGGGGAGUUAUUUCAAAGUCCGCCGCAGCAACCGUUAAUGCUCUGAAAAUGUGUCUUUCUAGCUUUUGUUUUACUACUUUGCAUUAUUUACACAGAACUAGAGGUGAUCACAGUAUUCCUUGAGAACCUUUUCCCUGUUAAACCUGCUGAAGAGCGUUUUCUAUGGGUUGUUCAUUUGUGGUGUAUUACUCCCCUGCCAUUCGUGCUGUAGGAGAGGCGGUCUGUUUCUCCGCAGCAGCACGUCCAAGGGCAUGUGCACCUUUUUCUUUGAUAAUGACUAUCUCGUUAAAAUUAGUUACAAGUUAAGGGAUCCCUGGACAACCACGGUAAGCUAAAACACCAGGUAUAUGACACACACAACGCUUGCAGCGACAAAUCAAACUCAAUACACUGGCAAAGGAUCACAAAUCAUUUCCUAAAAAGCAACAGUCUAGCUCUUCACGUUACCACUGCUCAUAUUAAGAGCAGCAAAAAUCGCCUUUCCAAUAUGAGCAAAAAUAAAUAAAUCGCUCUAAGAUGAAAGAAUCCCUUAGAGGAUCAUUUAACAGUAGCAGUAUCUGUAACGCAGGAAACAGAACUGAUGUUCUGCUCGUUGCCACAAGUAAAAGAAAGAGGCUGUCAGUAUCCAUGUUCACUGUUCUGUCCAAAAAGAAAAACAUAGGUCUAGGAAUUUGCCACUAUAUAUUUAUUUUUUUUUUUUGUAUUAGAGGUGAAUAGUACAGAUUCUAAUAGUGUUUCUUGUCUGGGGCUGGGGCGGGUAGGGGUGUAUUGUAAUUUUCAAGCUAUUGCAAAAGCCGCUUUUAAAUAAGCUGUUCAGUCUUAUUGAGUAACUGGUUUGUGCUUUACAAAGGAAUCCAGGUGAGCCAGGAUUCAAUGGGUAGCCUCCUUGCCUUGCUGUUAACAGGGUAAUUAGAGCUGAAGUCACUUGUGAAAAUUUAGUUUGGGGAUAGGGAGAUUAGAUGACCCAUCCCUAAUCUGUAAUGUAGUGUACUGUAACCUAAUGAGAUUAGACACUCACCUACUGUAGAACUGUGGUUUUGUCAGCAGCUACUUAGUUUGUCUGCCCCCUGGUGUGAUGAUCUUGGUUACGAAUGUCCUCCUACAGAUUUAAGAUGAUGUCAGCCCCUCUGUGUUAUCUGGUCUCUGUAUAUAUAUCCUACCGUCUAAUCCCAAAAGGAAACGUGUAGCACAAAACGAAGUUAAGGGUGCUGUGCACCAAGCCUGCUGUAAGUUUUUUUCUGAUACGGAGGGAUGGGGAAGACACGGAUGUAACAGCAAGCGUAUUUGCUACAGAGAACAAGGAGUGUUGCCUAACAAAUCCUCACUUAGAGCUGGUUGAAGCUUUGUUUUUGCAGUCAAAAAACUCAAGAUCUGCUAUUUCCUAUAUUGAAAGUUGGAACGUUACCUUUAUGGUGGCGAUAUCUUUUGGAAAAUUCCUUCAAUUUUCCCCCAGUACACUGAAGUUGGGGGUAGAGGGAAGGGAAUAUCCACAUUAAACUACAGCCUUCUGUAUUCUCCCCACUUUCCGACUAUAAAACAGAUACCAUUACUGAAACUCGUAAAGUUCCCUGAUGCAUCAGUAAGCUGUAUACAGAUGCCUCACUGGGGGAGGUGGCAUAAAUAAAUAUACUUCCGGCAUAUAUUUGGGAACAGCAAACUUUGACAUCCUAUCAUUUGACACAGCUGCCUCUUCCCAUUUCUUAAUCAAGUUCAUUCCCACUGUAACUCUUGCUGAUCUCAUUUUAUAUCUGGGUACAAAAUUGUUAAGUAUACACCUUUUGCUAAUUUGGAAUGAGGUGAAAUGGGGUGCUGGUCAGGCCACCGAGUCCUAAGUCAAUGUUAUGCAUGAGCAGACCUACCUGAAAACUUUCCAGUGUAUUUUCGACUUUCAAAGCUUUCAACCAGCCUUUACGCUGAAAAGGGGAGGGGGAACUUUAACCUGUAUCAAAUACUUUCCCAAAGAAAUGCUUUUUAAAAAAAAACAAGAAACAAACAAACAAAAAAAA